rnacentral:misc_RNA from 1 species
UGAUAGACCAUAGAUAGCCCAGUCCAAUAGCAGACAGGAGCAGUGGACCAGAAGGAUCGGGCUCGGACAUCGGACUCGGACAUCAUUGACCACGUGCCAGACGUCACGUGAUGUACAAGACGACCUUUUGCACCAACACUAGUGUACAAUCACACACACAUCUUGCCUUGCUCACCCACUCCAGACAAACAGACCCUGAAAGGCUUGUGUAGGGCUGAGAGACAAGGGGUUUGUGGUCUGUGAGUAGUCGUAGUCGUUCAACUACUACUUGUAGCUGCUGUACAUGACAUAGCGCAACGGAACGUGGACUAAAUAAGUUGUAAUAAAUAU